GUGCUUGCUUCAGCAGCACAUAUACUAAAAUUAGAAUGAUACAUAGAAGAAUAGCAUGACCACUGCGCAAGGAUAACACAAAAAUUUGUGAUGCGUUCCAUAUCAAA